UACGUAGGGUGCAAGCGUUGUCCGGAAUUAUUGGGCGUAAAGAGCUCGUAGGCGGUUUGUCACGUCUGCUGUGAAAUCCCGAGGCUCAACCUCGGGCCUGCAGUGGGUACGGGCAGACUGGAGUGCGGUAGGGGAGAUUGGAAUUCCUGGUGUAGCGGUGGAAUGCGUAGAUAUCUGGAGGAAUACCGGUGGCGAAGGCGGCAUCCUGGACCGACAUUGACGCUGAUGAGCGAAAGCUAGGGGAGCAAACGGG
rnacentral:rRNA from 1 species